UUUUAAUAUUUAAGUCAGUUAAACUGAUUUAAAAAGUUUUAUAAUAAUUAAAAUAAAUUGAGACAAUAUUAUUUACUCAUUCCAUUAGAUGAUUUCGCCUCUUUCACAAAAACACAACUACCUCUCCCUCUUGUAUCUCAGAUCUGAAACGAAACCCUAGUCUCUCUCCCUCACAGCGAAUGAACAACGUUCUCCCUCACAUCGAACCACGUUUUCCCUCUCAAACCCUAAGUCGUUCUUCCUCGGUGAAACGCAAAUUAUCUCCCUAUCUGCUAUGAUGAAAUCGAUUACGACGAACUCGUUCUGCUACCACGGUGAAAUUCGUCCUCCGCUUUCAAGGUUAGUUCAAAUUCUCCUCAUUCUUCAAUAGAUAGAUUACGAGCCUAAUUUCUUUUUGUGUGUGGUUAUAAUUCGUUCUCCCCUUUCUAAUUUCAUAUGUGUCGGUGUGUGUUUGUGUUUAUUAUUCCGUUUAUAAUUUUUACUUCCUUUACUUGCUCCUUGCAUUUAUGGCUGCCAUGAAGGGAUAUAAGAUGGUUUUGACCAUGCCCUCUUACACAAGCUUGGAAAGAAGGGUUUGUAUGAGAGCAUUUGCAGCUGAAUUGAUUCUCACUGAUCCAACCAAAGGAAUGGGAGGAACAGUAAAAAAGGCAUACGACCUUUUGGAAUCCACGCCAAAUGCUUACAUGCUGCAACAAUUUUCCAACCCGGCCAAUACUCGGGUAAGGUUUACUCAACUCAACUCAAAUUACUAUUUCUGUUUGAAACAUUGUUUUUCAGUUUGAUUGUUGUCUCUUUUGGUAUCAGUUCCUUCAAAAUUCCGGUGCGUAUUAGCAACAUUGGUAGAGGUCCUGAGUUGCCGGUUGGGUCACGUUAUGUUGUCUCAAAAGUAUGUUAAAUAUCAAAUUCUGCUAGGAAGAGCUUAAUAUGCAACAACAACAAUGUGUUCAUAGCAGUAUAAGGUUUUAUUAUGCAGAUGCAAAAGAAGCUGAGUUUCACUUGAACUAAUAGACUACACUGUUAUGAGUUCAUUGGAAAGGAAAGGAUUGAUUGGGUGUUAUGUCUUGUAAUGAUACUAGUAUUAUAAUAAGGUGUAUGUAGUGGGUGAAUUUACAUGUAUCUUGACAUGAGUUAUUCCUUGUAGGAAUAUGUAGAGGAAUUGGUGUAUAGCAGAAAACUUUGUAACUGAGAUGGAUGAAUCUGAUGAAAUGUUGCGCAGAGGGUUUAAAGAUCAAAUCUAUGAUGUGUAUAGAUAUCUCCCACCAGAUCUUCAGGUGCGGUGUCAGGGAUCUCUUUGUUGAGGCGCUGGUGCUAUUUGGUUUUGUGCUUCUGUUUGCAGACCUGUGUCUCUUUGCUUUAGGUUAGGAUAGUGUAUUGCAGUAUUGGUAGUAGCAUUCUUUAGUUUUGUUAAGAUAUAUUUAAAUCCAUGAUACUUUUGGUAACCUUGUUUCAUGAAUAUUUUGUAAUUGAAUUUAUUUAUAAUUUGGUAUGAAAUUUGAUUCUUUGA